AAAAAGAACUUAACAACGCGCUUUUUGGUUUGUAAGAAACGCGCCUUGUUUCGUUUCAUUCUUCUUCUCCUUCCCUCGUCAUCUUCCCCUAUUUCUGCAUCUGAGCACAAUCUCAGUCUCUCUCUCUCUUCUCUCUCCCUCUGAAACUGAUUGGAUUGUUUGGGGUUUCAAAUCCCUAAUCUUGUUUUUCUUCAACAAAAAAAGAUAAUAUACCUUCGAGUAUUCGGAGGUUUUGAGCUGCAACUUUUUCAUGAGCCACCGCCACCGUCCAACGGUAUCCGACUCGCCCCACCGGCCUGGACCUCCGGCCCAGACCGAGCUGGAGUCGGAACCGUAUAACAUAAUUCCGGUGAACAAUCUUCUUGCUGACCACCCGUCCCUCCGCUUCCCCGAGGUACGCGCUGCUGCGGCCGCUCUACGGGCUGUUGGGAAUCUUCGUAAGCCGCCUUUCGCCCAAUGGCUUCCCCAGAUGGACCUGCUCGAUUGGCUGGCACUCUUCUUUGGGUUCCAGAAGGACAACGUUCGGAACCAGAGGGAGCACCUGGUUCUUCACCUGGCCAAUGCUCAGAUGCGCCUCACGCCGCCUCCGGACAACAUCGAUACCCUGGACGCUGCCGUUUUGAGACGCUUUCGCAGGAAGCUUCUCAAGAAUUACACCGAAUGGUGCUAUUAUCUUGGGAAGAAGUCCAACAUUUGGAUCUCGGACCGGCGAGAAGCUGCUGCGGAUCAACGGCGGGAGCUUCUUUACGUUUCGCUGUAUCUUCUCAUAUGGGGUGAGUCUGCUAACCUCAGAUUUGUUCCUGAGUGUUUGUGUUACAUAUUUCAUAAUAUGGCCAUGGAGUUGAAUAAGAUUUUGGAGGAUUAUAUUGAUGAGAAUACGGGCCAGCCCGUGAUGCCUUCGAUUUCGGGUGAGAACGCUUUCUUGAACUUUGUUGUGACACCAAUAUAUGAGACGAUUAAGGCUGAAGUUGAGAGUAGUAGGAAUGGGACUGCCGCGCAUAGUGUUUGGAGGAAUUAUGAUGAUAUAAAUGAGUACUUCUGGAGUAAGAGGUGUUUUGAGAAGUUGAAAUGGCCUAUUGAUGUGGGGAGCAACUUCUUCGUGACCUCAACUAGGAAAAGGCAUGUGGGUAAGACUGGGUUUGUGGAGCAAAGGUCGUUUUGGAACUUGUACAGGAGCUUUGACAGGCUUUGGAUUAUGCUCAUUUUGUUUCUUCAGGCUGCCAUUAUUGUUGCGUGGGAAGGAACUGAUUACCCUUGGCAGGCUCUGAAACAUCGCGAAGUACAGGUCCGUAUCUUGACCGUGUUCUUUACUUGGAGUGGUUUGAGGUUCUUUCAGUCGUUGCUUGAUGCAGCAAUGCAAUACACUUUGGUGUCAAGAGAGACUUUGGGGCUUGGGGUGAGGUUGGUGUUGAAAAGUAUUGUUGCUGCUGGAUGGAUUGUAGUGUUUGGGGUGUUCUAUGGUAGGAUAUGGACGCAGAGAAAUCAAGAUAGACGUUGGUCACCUGAGGCAAAUCGGAGGGUGGUCACUUUUCUUGAGGUGGUUCUGGUUUUUAUUCUUCCCGAGCUUCUAGCACUUGCUCUUUUCAUUAUUCCAUGGAUUCGAAAUUUUGUUGAGCAGACUAACUGGAGGAUUUUUCGCAUGUUAUCAUGGUGGUUUCAGAGUAGAAUCUUUGUUGGUCGGGGGCUGAGGGAAGGUCUUGUGGACAAUAUAAAGUACACUUUGUUUUGGGUUGUGGUGCUGGCUACAAAAUUUUGCUUCAGUUAUUUUAUGCAGAUAAAACCCAUGGUUGCUCCAUCAAAAACACUCUUGGACCUUAAGAACUUGAAGUAUGAAUGGCAUCAGUUCUUUGGUAGCAGUAACAGAUUUGCAGUUGGGUUACUCUGGAUUCCUGUUGUUUUGAUUUACCUCAUGGAUUUGCAGAUAUGGUAUUCCAUUUACUCCUCUUUUGUUGGGGCAGGAGUGGGUUUGUUUGCACACUUGGGUGAGAUUAGGAACAUCCAGCAAUUGAGACUCAGGUUCCAAUUCUUUGCAAGUGCAAUUCAAUUCAAUCUCAUGCCAGAGGAACAACUCUUAAAUGCUAGGGGGACAUUAAGGAAUAAGUUCAAUGAUGCUAUUAACCGGUUGAAGCUGAGGUAUGGAUUUGGCCAGCCGUACAGGAAACUCGAAUCCAAUCAGGUUGAGGCAAAUAAGUUUGCUCUGAUAUGGAAUGAGAUAAUUAUGAUUUUCAGAGAAGAAGAUAUUAUUUCUGACCGAGAGCUUGAGUUAUUGGAGCUGCCCCAGAAUUCUUGGAAUGUCAGGGUUAUUCGAUGGCCUUGUUUUCUUCUCUGCAAUGAGCUACUGCUUGCCCUUAGUCAAGCCAAAGAGUUGGUAGAUGCUUCAGAUAAGUGGCUCUGGUAUAAGAUAUGCAAGAAUGAAUACAGGCGUUGUGCUGUCAUAGAAGCUUAUGAUUGUCUUAAGCACUUGGUUCGGGCCAUUCUUAAGCGUAACAGUGAAGAGCAUGCAAUAGUGACAGUUUUAUUUCAAGAGAUUGAUCAGUCUGUUCAGAGUGAGAGGUUCACCAAAACAUUUAAAACAACUGCACUUCCCCUGCUCCAUUCGAAGUUAAUUAAACUUGUUGAAUUGUUGAACAAGCCAAAGAAAGAUCCUAACCAGAUGGUAAAUACUCUACAGGCACUCUAUGAGAUUGUUGUUAGAGAUUUUUUCAAGGAGAAGAGGAGCACUGAUCAGUUGAGGGAGGAGGGUUUGGCCCCUCAAAAUCCUGAUUCAAUGGCAGGGUUACUUUUUGAAAAUGCUGUUCAAUUACCAGACCAUGAUGAUGAAACCUUUUACAGACAGGUUAGGCGCUUGCACACUAUUCUCAUUUCUCGAGACUCAAUGCAGAAUAUCCCAGUUAAUCUUGAGGCAAGGCGCAGAAUUGCUUUCUUUAGCAACUCUCUCUUUAUGAAUAUGCCCCAUGCCCCCCAAGUUGAGAAAAUGAUGGCUUUUAGUGUUCUGACCCCGUACUAUACUGAAGAAGUGGUAUACAGCAAAGAGCAACUAAGGACUGAGAAUGAAGAUGGGAUUUCUAUCCUUUAUUAUUUGCAGACAAUUUAUCAUGAUGACUGGAAAAAUUUUGUUGAGAGGAUGCGUCGAGAAGGAAUGGUGGAUGACAAAGAAUUGUGGACAACUAAGUUGCGAGAGCUUAGGCUCUGGGCAUCAAACAGAGGCCAGACACUUUCGCGAACUGUUAGGGGAAUGAUGUAUUACUAUCGAGCUCUUAAGAUGCUGGCUUUUCUGGACUCUGCAUCAGAGAUGGACAUUCGGGAAGGAGCACGAGAACUUGGUUCAAUGAGGCGAGAGAGUUUCAACUCAGAAAGGUCACCUUCAGCUAGGAGUUUAAGUAGAACAAACAGCUCUGUGAGUUUGUUAUUUAAAGGCCAUGAGUAUGGGACUGCUUUGAUGAAAUUUACGUAUGUGGUUGCUUGCCAGAUAUACGGAACACAGAAAGCAAGAAAAGAUCCUAAUGCUGAGGAGAUUUUGUAUCUAAUGAAAACCAAUGAAGCUCUUCGAGUUGCCUAUGUUGAUGAGGUCUCAACUGGAAGAGAUGGUAAAGAAUAUUAUUCUGUUCUGGUGAAGUUUGAUCAGCAGUUAAAUAAGGAGGUGGAAAUCUUCCGUGUAAAGUUGCCAGGGCCCUUGAAGCUCGGAGAGGGUAAACCAGAGAAUCAAAAUCAUGCCAUGAUUUUCACUCGUGGUGAUGCAGUUCAAACUAUUGAUAUGAACCAAGAUAAUUAUUUUGAGGAGGCUCUAAAAAUAAGGAAUCUAUUGGAAGAAUUCAGGCGAUACUAUGGUGCCCGUAAACCCACGAUCUUGGGAGUCAGGGAACAUGUUUUUACUGGUUCUGUUUCUUCACUUGCUUGGUUUAUGUCAGCUCAAGAAACAAGUUUUGUCACCUUGGGACAGCGUGUUUUAGCCAAUCCUUUAAAAGUUCGAAUGCAUUAUGGCCAUCCUGAUGUGUUUGACAGGUUUUGGUUCUUGACUCGAGGUGGUAUUAGUAAGGCUUCCAGAGUGAUCAACAUAAGUGAAGACAUCUUUGCUGGUUUUAAUUGUACACUGCGUGGAGGGAAUGUCACACACCAUGAAUACAUUCAAGUUGGAAAAGGAAGGGAUGUAGGGUUAAACCAAAUUUCCAUGUUUGAAGCUAAGGUAGCUAGUGGAAAUGGAGAGCAAGUACUGAGCAGAGAUGUCUACAGGCUGGGUCAUAGGCUUGACUUCUUCCGAAUGCUGUCUUUCUUUUACACUACUGUGGGUUUCUUUUUCAAUACAAUGUUGGUUAUUCUGACUGUAUAUGCAUUUUUAUGGAGCCGACUUUAUCUUGCUCUCAGUGGUGUUGAGGGUUCUGCUUUGGCACAAGACAGCAAUAAAGCUCUUGGGACGAUCUUGAAUCAACAGUUCAUCAUCCAACUUGGUAUUUUCACUGCCCUUCCAAUGAUAGUGGAGAACUCUCUCGAGCAAGGGUUCCUGCAGGCUAUUUGGGAUUUCUUGACAAUGCAGCUCCAGCUUUCCUCUGUUUUCUAUACAUUCUCUAUGGGAACUCGUACCCACUUUUUUGGCCGAACUAUCCUUCAUGGUGGUGCAAAGUAUCGUGCAACUGGACGAGGUUUUGUUGUUCAGCAUAAGAGCUUUGCAGAGAAUUACAGACUAUAUGCUCGCAGCCAUUUUGUGAAAGCUGUUGAACUUGGACUGAUACUUAUAGUUUAUGCAACACAUAGUGCUGUAGCUAAGGACACGUUGGUGUACAUAGCCUUAACCAUCACUAGUUGGUUUCUUGUCAUGUCAUGGAUUCUGGCUCCCUUUGUUUUUAACCCUUCUGGUUUUGACUGGCUGAAGACUGUAGAUGAUUUUGAUGAUUUUAUGAACUGGAUUUGGUUUCGUGGUAGUGUGUUUGCAAAAGCUGAACAGAGCUGGGAAAGAUGGUGGUAUGAGGAGCAGGAACAUUUGAGAACCACUGGUAUAUGGGGAAAGAUAAUGGAGAUCAUUUUAGACCUACGGUUUUUCUUUUUCCAAUAUGGUAUUGUAUACCAGCUUGAUAUUACAGCUGGAAGUACCAGUAUUGCUGUGUAUGGCUUGUCUUGGAUCUACGUCUUAGUGGCUUUUGGGAUAUACGUGGUGGUAGCAUAUGCUCGGGAUAAAUAUGCAGCAAAAGAACACAUAUACUAUCGACUUGUGCAGUUUCUUGUCAUUAUUCUCGCCAUACUUGUGAUAAUUGCCCUGUUGAAGUUCACAAAUUUCAAUUUUAUAGAUAUUUUUACCAGUAUGUUGGCCUUCGUCCCCACUGGGUGGGGCCUGUUAUUGAUUGCCCAAGUAUUCCGUCCUCUUCUGCAGAAAACUAUAUUCUGGAAUGUAGUUGUUUCUGUGGCUCGAAUGUAUGAUAUAUUAUUUGGAGUGACUAUCAUGAUUCCUAUGGCUGUACUAUCAUGGCUUCCUGGGUUUCAGUCUAUGCAGACUAGGAUCCUCUUUAAUGAAGCAUUCAGCAGGGGCCUUAGGAUAUUCCAGAUUGUCACAGGGAAGAAAUCAAAAACUGAUGUAUGAUUUCAGGACCCAUUUGUGUGAAUUUCUUUCAUCAUGUCUUUGGAUAAUUCAUCAUUCGUUGCCACACUAUUAAGCUAUAUUGACUUAUCAGGUUUAAUGUAACUUGUUGGCGCAGAGAAAGUAUAGAAGUUGAUAAACAAGGUUAUUUUGAUACGUUAGAAGUUGUUGUAUGCCAUGUUAAAGCAAUUUGUUUGUUGUUUCAAGUUAAUUUUGAGGGCAAUUCAUGUGUUGUUCAUUGCUACUACUACCCGUUCUUUCUCCCCUUGUUUGUGUAAUUAGUAGCUUAGAGAAAUUUCUUUUGGAUCUCGAUUAGCUUUGGGUUGACCACCUUUCCACCUUCAGAAAGGUUCAACUCUUUAGCAGUGUCUAUAUUGAGCAUAGCUAGCUAGUUUCAUUCAUAUCACUCAGAUUUUGUUUACCCACUACAUUUUUUAUUCUUUCCUCAGAUUGGCAGCU